UGACACUGCUACGGAUAGAUGUUUCUGUUUCGAAACGCUUCCGAAUGGUGGCCCCAUCAAAGCCGGAAACAUGUUUCAGGAUCAGUGCGUAGGCGGCUUAAACACAUAUGGGACCCAGAUACCUAUCAUCUGCUGUUUAGUUCCAUGUCGCGAUUGGUGCACAAUGGGGUAGCAUUCAUUUCACGCUCAGUGAGGAGAGCCCUACGUCAUCGUGACGUAGGCACGCGUCAUCGCGUGUUCCACGAGUUGUCCGAUCGACUGUUGUGUGUAUGCUCUGUAUACAUCGACUGUUGUGUGCAUCUUCGAUUUGCAUUGCUAUUUGUUUGUGUGGUUUCAUUGUCCUCUUGUCCGGUGUUGCUCGCGUGAACGUCGUUCUGAUCAUGGGCUCUAACGGAGAUGAGAAAGGUUUCGAACAUAUCCUUCAAGAUAAUCGGAAAGAUUUCGCUGUCUGUAACGACGGCAAAUACUGUGGCUACUGUGAUUCGGAGGAAGAGAUCAAAAGACUAUUGAAUAGUCUUUAAGUGCAUAGGGUAUUCAUACUCGGUAAGGAGCAGCCACCAUCACCAAAAAUUGCAAGAAGCCGCCACCAGUAACCCACGAAUCUUCUUCCAGCAUUUUCAGGGUAACGUUGAAAUCCCAUUUAUGGGAUAUUCGUUUUCGGUGGAAUAUUCCAGCUACCAACAAUGCACCCUGGGCCCCAAAUAUUACAGUAAAAAGGAGACUGUUGUUCCAAGUCAUCUCGUUGACCAUGUUAACCCAGCAAAAAAGAGAUUGUUGAUUAUGGAUACGAAAAAGAGCGAUUGCCCUGCCACUUUUUCAAUUAAAUGUGUUAAAGUGUAUCCAGGCUAUUCUGUUCAAUCAGUAGAUGAUCGUGAAAUUAAAAAGAAAGGAAGUUGUCCAUAGUUUAAAACAGGCUUUGUAGGCAGCCAAUAAACCUGAAAGUGUUCUUCGCUUUUAUGUGAGGACGUCACCACCAGGCCACCAUACCCACAGCACAGAAAGCAUAAAAGCAAGUGGAGACAUACAUCCCUUGCUAGCUGCGGAAAUAGCAAAAGUUGUUGAAGAUGGAACUACAUCUUCUGUGAGAAUAAUAAAGUUACACCUUGAAAGAUUUGUGAACACAACCUUCACUGGACGACACAAGCCAGAUAAAAUGAACACUACAUUUUACCCCACACAUCUCACAAUAUAUAGUCAUGUGUACAGGGCCCUUAAGAAAUUGAAGAAAAGUGUGUUUGACCAAGAUGCUUUGCAAAUGCAGAUUAAUGAGUGGCAGAAAGAAUAUAGAGCUGACAAUAUAUUUUUUUCAGGCCUUUUUCAGAUGUUGAUGGAGAAAUACAGCCAUUGCUGUUUUGUUAAGAGAGUGCAUGGCAGAAGGAUAUGUUAAAAAAAUAUGGAGAUGUAUGUUUGCUUGAUGCCACCUAAAAAACAACAAAAUAUGACAUUCCUUUAUUUUUUGUUACAGUAAAGGCAAACAGAUGCUAUUUAGUGGUAUGUUUUUUCUUUAUUCAGGUAGAAGAUACAAGGUCAAUUCCUGAAGCGCUACUUGUUUUCAAGAGGUGGAAUACAGACUUCAACCCAACCUACUGGGUUACUGAUUCCUCAGAGUCCGAGAUAGCAGCAAUUAAAGAAAUAUUUUCAUUUUCAAAAGUGUACUUAUGUUCAUUUCACAGGGAACAGGCUUGGGGGGCGAUGGGUUAAAAAGGGAGGGAAUCUAACUGUAGGAACUGAUAAGGAGUCUGUUCUGGAGCUGUGGCGCUAAGUUGCAGCGUCUCCAUCUGAGGAACAGUUGAAGCUCAAUGUUGAAAUGUUAGAGACUCAAGAGGUUUUUCGUAGGAACCCCACGGCACUUAUUUAUUUUAAAAAUCAAUGGCUCUCAGUUGCUGAAAAGUGGGUGAGAGCUUUCGAGAAUAUUGGCAUAUUUGCCAAUAUUAGAACCACAAACGGUGCUGAAACAAUUAACAAGAAGGUCAAAAAGUCUUUUCUGAACUAUGACACAGACAAAACAUUAACAAGAGUUGUUAAUGUAUUAGUAAAUAGUUUCAUUCCUGGCCUCAUGAAAAAGUAUUGCCAAAUGAAUUCUGUUAUUAGAAAGAACAAUGAAGUUGUACCUGCAUUUUUCCAUGGAAAGACACAGGAAUUUAUAACACACGUAUGGAAACGAUAUUCUGCAGAAGAAAGCUUCAGUAAAGAGUCAGUAAUAAGUGAGGGUGUUUUUUCCGUGAAAAGCAACACUUCAAAAGAUCUUAGGUAUACUGUAAACUUUGCGGAACCAAGUUGUACAUGUGAAGAUUACCAAAAGCACAAAUAUAUGUGUAAACAUUUUUGUGCCAUCUUUAUUUUCUAUCCUCAAUGGGGUUUUGACAAAGUAAAUGAAAAGUACAGAAAUAGCCCGUUAAUUUUUUUGGAUAGGACAUAUGGGUAUGGUGCAAGUGGCAGCUGUAUUUCACAGACUGAUUCUGCACUACGUGAAUUAGAGGAGUUCAGCAGUGAUGAUGCUAUGAAUGAAGAGCAUAACAUUCCUGAACCAUCAGCUUCUUCUUCAUCUCUGUUUCGAGAGGCAAGAGAGAGAUGUCUGAAUAUUAUAAAUCUCACAUACAGUUGUGACAAUGACACGAUAAAAAAAGUUAGAGGCACUUAAAAAUGUGGAACAUAUUGGAAGAUUGUCGAACCCUACAGAAAAUGGUCUUCCUUUAGCAGCGACAUAAUCUUCAAAAAUGUAGGAACACUCAUUUAAAUGGAGGCAGAAUUUGUGAAACACGUAUUUGCCCUUUUGCUUUCCUGGAUGUUCAUAUAGAUUUAAAAAUGAAAUGGAUUGAUCAGAGUAUGGUGAGUUAAGUGUCUACAGCAAUCACUUACAUUGGGAGAUUUUUCAGUUUUACAUUAAAAUAUGUGGUAAUACAGCAAAUUUAAAACUGAAAGAACUUCCCAACCAAAAUGAAAGUCAUGGUUACACAACUUGCCAUACCCUCAUAAAUACAUUUUACCAUCAAUAGUUAAAAGUAGAUACCCAACUGUGUGCUGAUUGUGCUGCUACUGAUACUUUCUUUGUUAAAUGGUAUUGGUAACAUGAAGCAAGACUGGAAGUACCAAAAAGCUCUUCUUUAUUUCUUAUAACAAUAAUAAUUAUUAUUAUUACACUUUAUUACAAACAUUGUCAGAGUUAUUGGGGAAAUACAUAAUACGUGGUACCAAUGGUCAUUACUGAAGGUUGAUACAAGAGAAGUAAAACUCUGAAUGGUUCCUAAAAAUCAGAUCUGGUCAAAUUUUACAGAAAGCUACAUGUAAAUAUACAGGAGUAAAAACUGUCACCACUGUUUGCAUGAGAGUUUCUAUAAUGCUAUAGUUGACAAUUCAGUAUGGUACUUUUCCAGUAAUGGGUAAUGAAAAUGUCAUGGCACCUGUGCAGAAGUGCCUAUUUCAUAUUAGAGUUAGCGACCCAUGUGUGCACCUGUUUAAUGUUAAAAAAGUGUUGUUUUUAUAUAGGUUCAAUCAGAAGUUAAACAACAACACUUUUCAUGUAAAACAGAUGCAUACGUGUGUAUGUAAUUGUAACAGGAACAGAUGCAUAUGCACAUGUGCCAUGUUCAUUUCCCAUUACUGAAAAAUGACUGACCAUUCUAACCACAUUUUAUGUAGGAUUUAUGUAAAGAUUAGUAAUGUUUACAGGGCUUUCUUGUCUCUUUUGCGACAAGUGAGGGUUUGGCACUCAUUUAUGUUCCACUACAGUUUCCGCACAAAAUACUCAAACUUACUACUUGGACUGAUUCAGUACAAAAGUCAAUUUUCAAAGCAUAUGACACCAUCGCAUUGUUGUAUCUUUCUGUGCAGGCUCAGGGAUAUGUUUCAAUGGUAGGAUUUUUCUGGCAGUCUGGAAUGAGGUUAGAGAGAAAACUAUUGCUAAUACCAUAAAUCCAGUAGUGUUUCAACACCGUGUGUGUGUGUGUGUGUGUGUGUGUGUGUGUGUGUGUGUGUGUACACUUCCAAAAGCAGUUCCUCAACCAUUUAGUCUCGUGGAUCUCUCUCUCUCUCUCUCUCUCUCUCUCUCUCUCUCUCUCUCUCUCUCUCACACACACACACACACACACACACACACACACACACACACAUUGAUAUUCUUUAAUUAUCCUUCAAGAUGCGGCUGGCUAGUAGUACGCAUCGCAACAUAAAAAUUAAUAUAUUCCCCACAGACAAGAAUGAGAUAUGAACCAACAAAAUUUCAUGCAAGGAUAUUGCCAAAAUUUGUGCCCUGUUAAGUUUUAAUGAUUCCGUAACAACAGAUGAUGUAACAUGUCACCACAAGAAGUAAUGCACUCCCAUUUUCUACAGUUAGAUAAUCUGGUUCCUAGAAAGGGAAGCAGUGGUUGGGAAAGGAGUGAGACAGGGUUGUAGCCUCUCCCCAAUGUUAUUCAAUCUGUAUAUUGAGCAAGCAGUAAAGGAAACAAAAGAAAAAUUCGGAGUGGGUAUUAAAAUUCAUGGAGAAGAAAUAAAAACUUUGAGGUUCGCCGAUGACAUUGUAAUUCUGUCAGAGACAGCAAAGGACUUGGAAGAGCAGUUGAACGGAAUGGACAGUGUCUUGAAAGGAGGAUAUAAGAUGAACAUCAACAAAAGCAAAACGAGGAUAAUGGAAUGUAGUCAAAUUAAAUCGGGUGAUGCUGAGGGGAUUAGAUUAGGAAAUGAGACACUUAAAGUAGUAAGAGUUUUGCUAUUUAGGGAGUAAAAUAACUGAUGAUGGUCGAAGUAGAGAGGAUAUAAAAUGUAGACAGGCAAUGGCAAGGAAAUCGUUUCUGAAGAAGAGAAAUUUGUUAACAUCAUGUAUAGAUUUACGUGUCAGGAAGUCGUUUCUGAAAGUAUUUGUAUGGAGUGUAGCCAUGUAUGGAAGUGAAACAUGGACGAUAACCAGUUUGGACAAGAAGAGAAUAGAAGCUUUCAAAAUGUGGUGCUACAGAAGAAUGCUGAAGAUAAGGUGGGUAGAUCACGUAACUAAUGAGGAGGUAUUGAAUAGGAUUGGGGAGAAGAGAAGUUUGUGGCACAACUUGACUAGAAGAAGGGAUCGGUUGGUAGGACAUGUUCCGAGGCAUCAAGGGAUUACCAAUUUAGCAUUGGAGGGCAGCGUGGAGGGUAAAAAUCGCAGAGGGAGACCAAGAGACCAAUACACUAAGCAAAUUCAGAAGGAUGUAGGUUGCAGUAGGUACUGGGAGAUGAAGAAGCUUGCACAGGAUAGAGUAGCAUGGAGAGCUGCAUCAAACCAGUCUCAGGACUGAAGACCACAACAACAAGACAGAAGUGUCAAGUGCGUCCAAGUGAAAUAAUGUAAAUGGCUUUUUCCAAAAGGGAAAUGAAUCCUUAAUAGUUUUUAACUUGAACUCUAAGAAACUGGCACCCAACCCAUUAACUGUGGAUGAUGAUUGUUCCAUCUCUUGGAAAUUUGUACAACUUCAUAAAUUGGCACUCAUACAAUCAACUUAAAAGGAGGGUCAAGGAAAAGAAAAAUCCAACCACUAAACACCACAUCUUUCCAUUGAGUGUCAGGCAAAACACAGGAAAGUCAUAUUUUGUAUAUAUCAUCUAGCAAAUUAACUUGCAUUGCUUUGUGUCACUGUUCUGUACUGCAUUGGUAUUGGUAUUCAGACUCAGCAGGGAAAAGGUUCACAUCCAUAGGUUCUGUUUGUGCUCAUUAAUCUGAAUCUCUAUUAAAUUUUCUUCACAUUGCACAUUGUCUUAUCUGUGAAGUAAAACUUCAAUUGAUUUCUGUAGUGAAGUCAACAGGAAUAAGUAGAUUCUGUAAGCUUACGUGGAUUUGGUUUAUGUAGCUAAGUGGUACUUAAUAUUUAAAAUUUGAUAAUCUUGUAACUGUUAAAUACAUAAGAAUUUUUUUGUACUUAUUACUACAGACAUAGGAUUUUUGUGUAAAUGAACUCUUAAAAAACUACAAAUGUACAGGGUGUUUCAAAAAGACCGGUAUAUUUGAAACGGCAAUAAAAACUAAACGAGCAGCGAUAGAAAUACACAGUUUGUUGCAAUAUGCUUGGGACAACAGUACAUUUUCAGGCGGACAAACUUUCGAAAUUACAGUAGUUACAAUUUUCAACAACAGAUGGUGCUGCAAGUGAUGUGAAAGAUAUAGACAACGCAGUCUGUGGGUGCGCCAUUCUGUACGUCGUCUUUCUGCUGUAAGCGUGUGCUGUUCACAAUGUGCAAGUGUGCUGUGGACAACAUGGUUUAUUCCUUAGAACAGAGGAUUUUUCUGGUGUUGGAAUUCCACCGCCUAGAACACAGUGUUGUUGCAACAAGACGAAGUUUUCAACGGAGGUUUAAUGUAACCAAAGGACCGAAAAGCGAUACAAUAAAGGAUCUGUUUGAAAAAUUUCAACGGACUGGGAACGUGACGGAUGAACGUGCUGGAAAGGUAGGGCGACCGCGUACGGCAACCACAGAGGGCAACGCGCAGCUAGUGCAGCAGGUGAUCCAACAGCGGCCUCGGGUUUCCGUUCGCCGUGUUGCAGCUGCGGUCCAAAUGACGCCAACGUCCACGUAUCGUCUCAUGCGCCAGAGUUUACACCUCUAUCCAUACAAAAUUCAAACGCGGCAACCCCUCAGCGCCGCUACCAUUGCUGCACGAGAGACAUUCGCUAACGAUAUAGUGCACAGGAUUGAUGACGGCGAUAUGCAUGUGGGCAGCAUUUGGUUUACUGACGAAGCUUAUUUUUACCUGGACGGCUUCGUCAAUAAACAGAACUGGCGCAUAUGGGAACCGAAAAGCCCCAUGUUGCAGUCCCAUCGUCCCUGCAUCCUCAAAAAGUACAUCUCAUCUGCAUGUGAAGCCAUUCCGCCAGACACGUUGUCAAAGGUUUCGGGUAAUUUCAUUCAGAGACUACGCCAUAUUAUUGCUACGCAUGGUGGAUAUGUGGAAAAUAUCGUACUAUAGGGUUUCCCAGACCGCAGCGCCAUCUGUUGUUGAAAAUUGUAACUACUGUAAUUUCGAAAGUUUGUCUGCCUGAAAAUGUACUGUUGUCCCAAACAUAUUGCAACAAACGGUGUAUUUCUAUCGCUGCUCGUUCAGUUUUUAUUGCCGUUUCAAAUAUACCGGUCAUUUUUGAAACACCCUGUAUUUGUUUUUGUAAAUAAAGUGGCAUGUCUCAAUACCUUAAUAAAUUGUCCAGAUGAGCAGUGUAACAUCUGAAAUAUCAGUAUAUAUGUUAUGGAUGUAUACCAUGUUUUUAAUGAAAACUUUAAUCAUAUUGUUUAUCCAAUAAA